UACGUAGGGUCCGAGCGUUGUCCGGAAUUACUGGGCGUAAAGGGCUCGUAGGCGGCCAACUAAGUCAGACGUGAAAUCCCUCGGCUUAACCGGGGAACUGCGUCCGAUACUGGCAGGCUUGGAAUCCGGGAGAGGGAUGCGGAAUUCCAGGUGUAGCGGUGAAAUGCGUAGAUAUCUGGAGGAACACCGGUGGCGAAGGCGGCAUCCUGGACCGGCAUUGACGCUGAGGCGCGAAAGCCAGGGGAGCAAACGGG
rnacentral:rRNA from 1 species